rnacentral:lncRNA from 10 species
CUUGCUGAAGAGGGAGGUUCCUCCAGAGACUUGGAGGAAGUAAGGACAGACUGUAUGGUCACCUGGCAAGGGAAGCAUUCCAGACUAAAGGAACAGCAAGUGCAAAGGCCCUGAGGCAGGGAGAUCUCCCUUCCUGCCCUGCAGUUUCUGACUUGGCACAUUGAGAGCAGCUCCCUGGCAAGUGGAAAUCAUGUCCCUUCCCAGAGGGCUCCUCCCAGGGUCUCCUCUCCUCAGCCCCUACCUCAUCCUCGGUGUAGGCAAGGAUGCCAGCCAUGGGCCCCUUGGCUGCUGCUUUUACAGCCUCCUUGAUGGCUGAGUAGGGGGCAGGCUGGGCGAGGCGGCAGGUCAGGUCCACGACAGACACAUCCGGGGUUGGUACCCGGAACGCCAUCCCUGUCAGCUUCCUGGAGAAUCCCCCAUGAGGAACAGGAGUCAGAACUUAGGGACGUUGCCCUCCAUUCCCCCUUUCCCUGUGGCUGGGCCAGGCCCCUGCUUUCCUCUUAAGGACUGAGGGCCGGGCCAGUCCAGUCCUCCUGGCGUAUGCCCCCACCCUGGUUGCAGCUUCUUGUCCUCAUACCCUUUGAGCUCUGGGAUGACUUUGGUCACAGCUUUCGCAGCCCCAGUGGAGGCUGGGAUGAUGUUCUGGUGGGCACCCCGCCCAUCUCGCCAGGCCUUCCUUGAUGGCCCGUCCACUGUCUUCUGGGUGGCCGUGUAGGAAUGGACUGUGGUCUUGGGGAAGAGAAGGACCAAGAUGAGGCCUUCAUGCUCCUAAGCUCCCAUGCCUCUUUUUUCCAGGACUAAGUUGGUGGCCUAGGUGUGGAGGCUGGUGGGGCCACCACCACAGACCACAGGAGGGGAUGUGUGCAGGCCAGGGUCCAGCCUUGCCUGAGGGUUGCACAGUGUUUUAAGUGACUUCUGCACUGGUGGGCCUCUCCUCCCGAAACCAGUCUCUCCCUCUUAACUCCAUACAGUAAGCAAGGCCCGGGAAGAAGUUGGGUUUCCCUGCCAUCCUUCCUGCCCCAGCCCCUCAUCCUCAACUCACCAUCAACCCUUCCACGAUCCCAAAUCGCUCGUGGAUGACUUUGGCGAGGGGAGCCAAACAGUUGGUGGUGCAGGACGCGUUGCUGAAACAGCCAAGGUGUGCACGGACACUGUGAGGUGGUGACCUCCCCAACUCAGCCCUCAACCUCCUCAGAGGCGCCAAUGCUGACUGCUGUCAGCCAGCCCAGACCCUUUCUCCAUAUGCUGCCCGGGACGUGGACUCUGUGACUGUGAGGCCUGCCCGGCUGCUUUCUGCUUCCCAGCUCUGACAACCUCGCCAUGAACCCUCCUAGACCCUCAGCUCCUGCAAUAGGAAGCUGGCUGCCAAAGGCCAGGAGGGUCCCUGAAAACAGACACUGCAUUAAAGAAAAAGCUCCUGGAGGACUCCUGAAGCCUGAGGCAGCCUUGGGGCAGCAGUGGCUCAUGGUUUACAUUGGAAAGGUAAGGGAGGUUUCUGGUUUCCUGUUUUAUAAAUUUAUGUUUUUACUUGGUAUUUUGACAAACAUUUGUAUUUGAAGCACAC